UUUUUUUUUUUUCUUUUUUUGGGCUUGAUGAGAUUUAAUCACAGGCUUAUUGAAUAUUGGUGUUCAAAAGGAUAUACUUAGACAAAGCUUCCAAUAAGGCAGGAAUAACCCACUGACCACUCCUGGAAGAUGUAAACUUGCCAAUACACCACUGGUCCUUAACACUGUUAACCCCAGCCUUGGGAGACAUUCUGAAAGAAUGCUGGGCACGUUGGCUUGACUUAAUAAUUUGCAGAGUCUACAGCCAUUAGGGAGGGGCUAGGGAUGUUGAGUAUACUGUAGUGUAUGGGUGUCCCACACAAUAAAAAAUCAUAAUUCAUCUUGCAGGAUUUUGAAACAGCUAGCAAGAUAUUCCUGUAGGAUAUUCCUUUUGCUUCUGUCAUCCAGUACAUUCACUAUCCCUCCUACUUUUGAGCCAUUUGAGCAUUUAGUACAUUUUUAUUCAAGUUGUUAAUAAAAUCUUGAACAUAACAGAGCAAGACUUUCCAGCUAUUAGAGACAUUCUUUCCAGGGGGACUUGAUGCAUUCAAUACGUAUCUUUGUAUGUCGUUGUUCAACUACCUCCAGACUUACUUUUAAUGAUUAUCCAAUUUACAUUUAUUCACUGUGACCACAAGAAUAUCUUGAGAUAUUUUUUCUAAUGGUGUGCCAAAAUUAAAAUGCAAUCUGUGCAUAAUUAUGACCUUUUAAAAGAUAAGUAUUAUAUUAGUUUGACCUAUGAUGUUAUUAAUGAAUCUAGGCUGGCUUCUACUGCUCAUUCCUUUCUUCUCAAAGGGGUUAAUUAACUUGUUCAAAGUAUAGCUACUAAAUAAAGUCCCAGAAUUUGAAUGCAAGCUGGUAUCUCUCUAAAACCUUGCUCUUUUCACAACACCUCCAUCAGUUUAUGUGGAGGUGGGAAGGGACCUCCCCUUUCUGUUUUUACAUUAUGCUGUUUUAAUGAAAUUGCCAGGGUGCAAGUCUUGGCUCAUAGGCAUGCCCAAUGGCAACACAAGGAUUAAUCUGGUAGAAUUCAGGAGUUACCACUGCUUUAGGUCCCUGGUAGGUAUAUAGGCAGCCACAGUUUACACUUUUUUGAGCCCCUUCCCAAGAUGUCCUACUGUAUUUCCCAUUUGAUAUAUGGAUUGAAACCUAACUUAGAAAAGUAGGUGUAUGUCUGUCUCUUUGAUUAAGAGCCAACUAUUUCUAAAACACAAUUAUGACAUUAAAUUAUUCGUACAUAUGAAAUAUUUACUAAACAUUGUUUUAUAUCUCAGGAUAGCAAUAUUUCAAAUAUGGAUUUCUGUGUAGCUUUCUAGGCAAGAAAGUUAAGAAUUUUUUGAUUGUUGUUUUCUUCCUUUAUAACACCUUUAACUCAAGGCUCACUGCAGCUUAGAAAUGGCACAAAAUCCACAGAAGACAUACCCAUACCCAUGCACAUGAUGAAAGUGGCUUUGCUUGACAAAAAAAAAAAAAAAAAAAGAAAGAAAAAAAAGAAAAAAGAAAAAAAAAAAGAAAGAAGAAGAAAAAGAAACAAACAAAAAUUUCCUCCUUAAGAACUAGGAGUGGUCUCUUGAGACUGUUUUGCUGGAUUUGGUAGACUGCUAUGUGCAAAGAUCACAUUCUUGAGGUUGUGGUCGUGCUAAAGGGGUAAGAACAGAGGAAGAGGAAAGAUUCUGAACAAAGAAGAUUUAAGUUGACUAGCAGGGAGAAAAAUCUUCACAGAGGAGUCUGUAAAUUCAAGAGAAGUGGUGGGAGUCCUCACUGGAAUACUUGGAGAAGAACUACACAGAAUAACAGAGGCCCUUCUGUGGGGAACCAUCUCAAGUUGGCAGUUGCUCAGACAAGUCCACCCACCGGGACCAGAGGCACUUACAGGCUCCAUGGCUCUCUGAGCUUCUGGUAAGUACUCCCUGCCUACCAUCUCUCAGGAAAAUGGCCUGCGAGCCCCUAAGUCCUUCUCAUGCAACAGAUUCCCACCCGUGCUCUGUUGCACCUGAAACUGAGCAAGCAUGAGAACCCUUGAAAAGAAUCCUAUGAGCUCAUUGAUUUUAUCCAUACAGAUAUCUUUUUUUCUUCACAAAAUAUUUGUACAAAAGUAGCAUUUCCAUCCCCUGUCAUCAGCUAAUAAAUCUAGUAUUUUCUUAGGGUUCUAUUCAUUGUUCAGAAAAUGAUAUUGCCGGGACUGCUUCUUGUACCCCUCCCCACACAUAUCUUUCACUUCAUCCAUAGAAAUUGAAGCACAGUGUUUGAUGGGACACAGGUAUGCCUGGAAUAAAGACCACAUUGUCAAAAUUUUCUCUUAGCUGCAAGCAGCAGUAUGAAUAAUUGGCCAGUGAUUUAUAAGUACAAGUGUUACUGGAAAAAUUCCAGGAAAACAUAUUUAAAAGACUGUGUAAGCAUGUUCUUUGCCUGCUCCUUGGGACUUCAGUUUGAUGCUGGUGCUUCACCCAUCAAAUUGGACCAUGAGGAUAUUGGUCACAGCCUAGGAUUAGAAGAGAAGUGAGCUAGAAAGAGUCUUUUCCCCAAAGACUUAGUAAAGCAAAUUCUCCAUCCCAACUCUGGAAUAUCAACCUUCAGACUUCCAUUUGGAUGUUUUUUUCAUUUGCAGCCAAUGCUAGUCCUACCUGAUAUUAGUACAGAUUAGUAUAAAUGCUAGUAUUAAAAUAAGAAAUACAAGAAAGAAGUCACUAACUAUAGCCCCAUAAUAACACUUUAGCUUUUUAUUUUUAUCACAUAUUCUCUCAGUCCUGCUCUGAAAUAAUGACAUAGUCUAAAGGAAUUGUUAAAUUUUUAACUUGUCUACCUGAAUAUUGACCUAGAAAAAAAGAAUGCUUACAUGCUUAUUUUUUUCCUCUUCUAAUUAAAAUUAUUGUAUACUAAUAUUAAGGUGCCAGGCAAAGCAGACAGCAUCCUCUACGUAUUUUAAGGUUCUUUAGGACACUAAAGGAGCAAAAGAAUCUCUGAAGCUGAAGGCUCUGGUCCUGUUAACAUGUCCCUCCUCUCUAGGUCCUCCCAUUCUCUGCUCUCCCAAGGAUCCUCAGCUCUAUCAGAUUAAAACUCAGGAGAGAGGCAGGCCAAUGAUAUUAGAUGAGUGUCAUCAGCCUGUAGGUGACCAUGAAAGCAAAGGGCUGAAUAUAUUUUUCAAGAAUAAAAAGUUGGAGUUCCUGUCGUGGCUCAGUGGUUGACAAAUCCGACUAGGAACCAUGAGGUUGCAGGUUCGAUCCCUGACCUUGCUCAGUGGGUUAAGGAUCUGGCGUUGCUGUGAGCUGUGGUGUUGGUUGCAGACAUGGCUCAGAUCCCUGAGUUGCUGUGGUUCUGGUGGAGGCCAGCGGCUAUGGCUCCGAUUCGACCCCUAGCCUGGGAACCUUCAUAUACCGCAGGAGCAGGCCUAGAAAUGGCAAAAAGACCAAAAAAAAAAAGAAUAAAAAGUUAAGUGAAAAGAGGCUCUCUGAUAAAUUUGUGCAGCAUGUUCACAUUUAAGUAAUGAACAGAGGAAAGACACUCCACAAUAAAUACUGUGAAGAAGUGGCCAGAGAUUCUGAAGGAAAAACAAACCAAAAAGAUAUUUUCAAUGUCUUUUGUUGAUUCACUGGUGGAGAGUAUCAACUUCUUGUGAUCUGGGAAAUAAAAUAUGAAUUGAGAGAUGGUUACUUGGAUCUAGCAACCAGGAGGCCAUCAGUGAGAACUGAUGCAAAGAACAGUUUCAGAUGACAGGAAUGGGGGUGGGGAGAGGUUCAGGCAGGAGCCAGGCUAAGAUUCUGUGCAUAAACAUAGCCAAGGCUAUAACCAGCACACAAACGAUGGGCUGCUUUUUGUUUGCAUUCAGUGGCAAAUUCACUUGUUUGAUGGGGCUUUUCAAGUCCUCUGUAGCAAAUUAAAAUUUGCCUUCAAACCCAGCCUGCAUUAGAUGACAAGCUGGAAAGCAGCUUUUCUUGGAAGGCAACCUCCUUUUUAUGGCAGGCACCAUAAUGCUACCAAAGUGCCUGUUUGGAGCAUCUGAAAAAGGCAGGGAAGCUCUAUUGGGCACCAUUAGGUUGAAUCUUCACAUCAGUCUUGAAAGGGUUUGGAGAUCUAAACAACUGCUCCACGGUAUGAAAAUCAGCACGAACCUGUGGAGGGAGGCUGAACACUGGGAGAGAAGCAGCCAGGUGAAGUGCCUGAGAAGCUAACCUGCCCUUUGGGAAUUCGGGUGGAAAUUUGGAACUUAGAAGACUUUCUGGGUUUUUUUUUUCCCCCCACUGUUUGUAGUUUUUAAAAAUAAUUAUUUACUUUUUAAAAAGCUUGGUAUUUCAUCAAGCUCUCUAAUCAUGUAGAGACAGUUUCUUCUUUUUAUCUCUGUUUUUCAGCGCCUUCCCUUAUCGUGUGCUAAAUAUAUUUCACCAUUUUAUUCGGGCUGAAGCGCUGACACCAUUAUGUGACUUUCCACAUCCAACUCCAAGCUGCAGAUUUCAAGGAUAAAUCACUGUAAUUAUUUAUGCUCUUGAAAAGAAACAGGAGGUGUACAAGCCAAACUAAUAUGCACCUUUAGCCCACCCAAAUGACAUUUUAGAAACUGAUGGCUCUGAACCCUUAACUUUUGGCUGCCUACUUCUAGAUCCCCUUAGCAGUCUGAGAUAAUUGGGCUUUGUGGAGUGAGUUGGGAAAUUUUACUUAUUUUUCAAAGACGACCAACCAUAGCUACAUAUUUAUUAGGAUUUUUAUGGAGUCCUAAAAUAUCAGCUCUCUGGGCUGGCAAAUUCAUCAAACACUCAGAAAUAAACUGAAAACUAGAGGUUUGGAAUUCAGGGUGAUAGCUUUCAAAGCUAGGGCUAGGGAAGUUUUUACUCAGUUGCUUUGCUUUAUUUACAGAGGCAAUUUUUUUUCUCACUAGCAAUUUUCUCAGGUAAUUUAAAAUAUCAUCAUAAUCACAAACUUGAAUCCCCUUCCUUUCACAAGGUGGAAAAAGUUUAUUAAAUUUAAAAAAAGUUUAUUAAAAAUUAUUUCAGGAGUUCCCGUCGUGGCGCAGUGGUUAACGAAUCUGACUAGGAACCAUGAGGUUGCAGGUUCGAUCCCUGGCCUUGCUCAGUGGAUUAAGAAUCCAAUGUUGCCAUGAGCUGUGGUGUAGGUCGCAGACAUGGCUCAGAUCUGGAAUU
ensembl:lncRNA